GAGCGAUUAUGCCCAGAACCAUACAGCAAACAGCUCAAACCUGAAUCCCAACAUAAAUCAGCGACUGGAGUUACAGGAAGUUACAGAGUUGCCAUUGAUUCCUCACUUGUUUGCAUUCUGGACAUGAGAUAUGGAAGAAGCAAAAGACGUAAUCAAUCAAUGGACUAAGCAUACAAAGAACAUGGAAGGCUGAAGUUAUGCAAAAGGUAGAGGAUGAUGGUUUCACAAAACAGAGAAAAUGAUUGCUGGUAUAAAGAUUAAAUAAAUUCGGGUUUUUUUUCGAAGACCCUGACCUGGAGUUACACACAAGCUUCGGUUCUUUGCGGGAAUGGGACCUGUUCUCGGGGUUCCACGACUGGCUGCUAUUUGACACGCCAAGGGUUUGGCCUGAGAAUCUCGAUCGUGUUCGGAAGCUUAAGAUCUCGGGGCUCUGGAGGUGGGCGGAUCGAGGGUUGGUGUCAUGGCAGGAGACUCGCGUAUCAUCAGGGAGGCCAGAAGAUCUUCCACUGUGAGCUCGAAGACCCCAAGGUCUUUGCGAUCUUCGGACACAGAGUUCGAAAAAAGCGACGAAAUGGGCUUUUAUCAUUGUAAAUCUAUUCUUUUGAAGACCCUGACCUGGAGUUACACUCAGACUUCAGUUCUUUGUGGGAAUGGGACCCACUGUCAGGGCCUCAAGACCAGCAGCUUUUUACUUUUCCAAUAUUUUUAUUAGUUUCUACAUAGAGGAAUACAGAGUACAAGAAAGUGUAUAUAAGAGAUUAUCCCAAGGACAUCCAGCUCCAGUGCCAGUUCCUUAAUGUGAUCAGAUGGAGAGCUGCACUUAAGCACACUUCUUAUAGGUGAAGUCAUCAACACCAUCGGCAGUAUCACUAAUCUCCCUUACCCUGCAGAAGAGCAUGCCGUGGCCUAGCUGCCAUUCCAGCUACUUUAAAAUGAAGGAUGGUAUCUAUUCUACAGAUGUAGUCUGGUUGAUACACUGGUAUGGAACGGCCAUUGCAUGGGAUUGGAAGAAGAGUUGUAAACUCAGCCACUCAUCAUGGGCACCAGCCUCCCCAGCAUGAAGGACAUCUUUAAAAGACAAUGGCUCAGAAAGGUGGCAUCCAUCAUCAAGGACACCCACCAUCCAGGACAUGCCCUCUUCUCAUUGCUACCAAGGCUCAGGAAGGAACAGGAGCCUAGGAGCCUGAAGACAUGCUCAAUGUUUUAGGAACAGCUUAUACCCCUCCAGCAUCAGAUUUCUGAACAGACCUUGAACCGUUGAACUAACAUCGCUCUCUCUGAUGCAGGCUUUGGCCUGAUUUGAUCACUGUUGCUAUGACAUUGUCAUAAGAAGACAAAGUGGAGAUUUUUCCAGCAACUGUUUUCUCUAUUGAACACCUAUCAAAAGUAAACAGAUAUCAUUACAACAAGAAGAAAAGUAUUUGCAAGAAUUGUAAGCAAUGGCAGGUGCAAAUUCUUCAAAGUAAUAUUUCACACUAGUCCAAGCCCAUCUAGGGGAACUAUCACCUUCCAGGUUUACAUGAGUGUGCACUUGUGUACACGUUUAUGUGCAUGACUUACCUUCUUGUGACAUUUUAAUUGUAGUAAUUUUGGCAAUGUCAUCUUUUAUUUUACCCUCACAAAAGAAUACACCAAUGCCUUCAUCUUU